CAGUCGCCGCGGUAAUACGUAGGUGGCAAGCGUUGUCCGGAAUUAUUGGGCGUAAAGGGCUCGCAGGCGGUUUCUUAAGUCUGAUGUGAAAGCCCCCGGCUCAACCGGGGAGGGUCGUUGGAAACUGGGAACCUUGAGUGCAGAAGAGGAGAGUGGAAUUCCACGUGUAGCGGUGAAAUGCGUAGAGAUGUGGAGGAACACCAGUGGCGAAGGCGACUCUCUGGUCUGUAACUGACGCUGAGGAGCGAAAGCGUGGGGAGCGAACAGGAUUAGAUACCCCUGUAGUCCCUGUCUCUUAUAA
rnacentral:rRNA from 1 species